rnacentral:rRNA from 1 species
UAGGGAAUAUUGGACAAUGGGCGAAAGCCUGAUCCAGCCAUGCCGCGUGAGUGAUGAAGGCCUUAGGGUUGUAAAGCUCUUUCGCCAGGGACGAUAAUGACGGUACCUGGAUAAGAAGCCCCGGCUAACUUCGUGCCAGCAGCCGCGGUAAUACGAAUGGGGCUAGCGUUGUUCGGAAUCACUGGGCGUAAAGCGCAUGCAGGCGGAUCGUUAAGUCGGGGGUGAAAGCCCGAGGCUCAACCUCGGAACUGCCUUCGAUACUGGCGAUCUUGAGUCCGGGAGAGGUGAGUGGAACUCCGAGUGUAGAGGUGAAAUUCGUAGAUAUUCGGAAGAACACCAGUGGCGAAGGCGGCUCACUGGCCCGGUACUGACGCUGAGAUGCAAAAGCGUGGGGAGCAAACA